UCAGCACCUAUGCAUUCAAGAUUGGAAGUAGAGACACAUAUCACUUCACAGUCCAGAAAGCUAUUAUUGUUUCUGUUUCAGUGUGAGAGAGUCACAGACUUUGGGACAGGUUUCAGAGCAGGUUUAUUAUGGAUCCUGGAUCUCUACUUCAAUGUUCAUUACCUGGAUCCAUUUGGCUAAUAGGUUCCCUGUGGAUGGGCUUGCUUCCAAGCACAUACAUGGAAGAUGCAAAGGUGAGUGGGCUUGGUGCGGGACAGGAAGAAGACCAAAAUCAGACAAGGGUCUGACCCCUCCCCUGAUCCAGGAACUGCUACAGGAGAGGGUAUGGGAGGUAGAAUCCAUGCGAAACUCCAAGGUCACCAGCUGAACACAGGAGGCAUAGGUCAAGGGAUCUGGAGAUGCAGGGGUUGAAGGCUGCUCUGAGCUACCUCUGGGAGGAAGGGAGGGAAGGAAUGGGGAGACACUGCCUGCCCCUGGCCUAUGCCAGCUGCCCACCGCUCCGACACGCAUCAGUCUACACAGCUGACACACAGCCUGGGCUCAGGAUGGGCUGGCUCGGGUCCCUCAAUCCUCAGUGGGACAGCUGGCCCCAGGGCUCAGAGACAGGCUGAGGGAGAUGAGAGGGAAAGCUGCCCCACCCAGGUCAUCCCCUCCUUGAGCAGACAGCCCUUCAGAACUGCUAAAAAACCCACUAAUGGGGUUGGAAGACCUGCCAUGGAUGCACUAAGUCAUAGAGAUAUGUAAAAUAACAUUCACUUUUAAGUUCAGAGCUGUCAUCUCAGGAAGUGGGGAGAGCUUCCCUGAAGAAGACUGAGGGGAGGGCAGGCCAUGCUGAAAAGGGAGACAUGGCUCUCCUGAUUGGGGACCUGCAGCCCCCUUCCAGGGCAGGACAUCAUCCUCGCAUCACACGAGAUCCAUGGAAGUGUUCCAUCAGGGCCAGAUGUUUGUCUCGAGAAGGCUACCCUGGUAUCGGACUGCACAGGGCACCAGGGACGAGGGCAAGGUGGAGGACGGACCAUACCCCGGAGGCCAUGGGGCAAGAGCAGAGGCACAUGACCUGGAAGAUGAUGAUGAAAAGCAGGAGGUGGCAGCAUGGAGCCGGCCCAAAAGUGCCAUGGCAGCAGUGCCCACAGGUACACUGACUGGGUGCCUUCUGUGCCCGGUGUGGCUGACUUCAGUGUGCUCCAGACUAGUCCUGACCACAAGUCUAGGAAGUGGCCUCCUCUCCCCUUGCAGCUGCUAGGAAUCACGGUCACAGACCCUGGUCAGCUUUCGUGGAAACCAAGCAGUGGCUCCCCCGCAUGCUGCACCUCUGGUGGUGGUCCAGUGCGACCCUCGUGCCUGGCCAGACACUGAUGUCUACCUGUCUCCACACAAAUCCACAGACAGGAGGGUGUCCUUGAUUCCACAGCACCUGAUGAGACAGAUCCACAGAACCCAACACCCAGUGGGUCACUUGGGACCUCACCUAUGGUCAUGGAGCUCACUGUAAACUAUUUCUGUCACUUUCCACAGAAAGCCUGGUUCUGAUCCCCCACAAUACCAUACAUCCUGGUUGCUGACCUGGGGUCAUGCCAUGAACCCACAUGGCACCUUUCUUUUAGAGAAGGCUAUGCCUACACCUCCUAGAAAAUAUUUCUAAUGAAGUACAGGUCCAUCAGGACUACGGUGUGAACAGUAGCACGCAGCCUGCAUGGUAGUAGUCAGUAAUUCUAACUAGGGUUAACCCCAGCCCCCUUCUCACUCAACCUUCCUCCAUCCCCACUGAACUCAUGGUCUGCCCUCAGAAAACCCUCCAGGAAACAAACCUUUCAUCUGAAUCCUCUCUUCAGCUUCUGCUUCAAACCUUGUCCAACCACAGUGAUAUGAAACUGGAAAUCAGUCUCAAGAAAAAAAAAUGGGACAGUCAAAAAUAGGUGGUGAUUGGGGACCCUGGGUGGCUCAGUCUUAAGGAUCUGCAUUCAGCUCAGGUCCUAUUCCCAGGAUCCUGGGAUGAGCCCUGAAUCAGGCUCCUUGCGCAGUGGGAAGCCCGCUUCUCCCUCUCUCAACCCCCUGCUUGCAUUCCUUCUCUCCCUGUCUCACUCUCUGUCAGAUACUUAAAUAAUCUUCAAAAAAAUAUGUGGAGAUUUAACAACAUGCUUCUGAACAACCAACAUUCAAGGAAGAAAUAAAAAAAAUUUAGAAGUACCUGGUCA
ensembl:lncRNA